rnacentral:rRNA from 1 species
GAUGAACGCUGGCGGCGUGCUUGAUACAUGCAAGUCGAACGGAGAGUGUAGCAAUAUACUUUUAGUGGCGAACGGGUGAGUAACGCGUUGGUGACCUGCCCCGAAGCGAGGGAUAACAGUUCGAAAGAACUGCUAAUACCUCAUAUGAUCACCGGUUUUAGAAUCUGGUGAUUAAAGGUGAAAAUCACUUCGGGAGGGGCCUGCGUCCCAUCAGCUAGUUGGUAAGGUAAUGGCUUACCAAGGCGAUGACGGGUAGGGGACCUGAGAGGGUGGCCCCCCACAAUGGAACUGAAACACGGUCCAUACACCUACGGGUGGCAGCAGUAGGGAAUAUUGCAAAUGGGCGAAAGCCUGAUGUAGCAACGCCGCGUGUGCGAUGAAGGUCUUCGGAUUGUAAAGCACUUUUUGGAGGGAUGAGGAAGGACAGUACCUCCAGAAUAAGCCUCGGCUAACUACGUG